rnacentral:rRNA from 1 species
CCUUUGACGUUAGCGGCGGACGGGUGAGUAACACGUGGGUAACCUACCUAUAAGACUGGGAUAACUUCGGGAAACCGGAGCUAAUACCGGAUAAUAUUUCGAACCGCAUGGUUCGAUAGUGAAAGGUUGUUUUGCUAUCACUUAUAGAUGGACCCGCGCCGUAUUAGCUAGUUGGUAAGGUAACGGCUUACCAAGGCGAUGAUACGUAGCCGACCUGAGAGGGUGAUCGGCCACACUGGAACUGAGACACGGUCCAGACUCCUACGGGAGGCAGCAGCC